rnacentral:rRNA from 1 species
CAGUCGCCGCGGUAAAACGGAGGGUGCAAGCGUUAAUCGGAAUUACUGGGCGUAAAGCGUGCGUAGGCGGUUCGUUAAGUCUGUUGUGAAAGCCCCGGGCUCAACCUGGGAAUGGCAAUGGAUACUGGCGAGCUAGAGUGUGUCAGAGGAUGGUGGAAUUCCCGGUGUAGCGGUGCAAUGCGUAGAGAUCGGGAGGAACAUCAGUGGCGAAGGCGGCCAUCUGGGACAACACUGACGCUGAGGCACGAAAGCGUGGGGAGCAAACAGGAUUAGAUACCCCGGUAGUCCCUGUCUCUUAUAC